rnacentral:rRNA from 1 species
UUCAAGCUGACUAAUGUCUACGGGCCUACAGACUAUGCGUGCAAGGAGGCCUUCUUUGCUGAGCUAUGCUCUUGCAAGCCACUUCCGGGUUUGGGAUGGCUUGUGCUUGGGGACUUCAACCAAAUAUAUCGUGCUAGGGACAAGAACAAGCGAAACAUCAACCGAAGGAGGAUUAAGCGAUUUCGGGACACUCUGCAGUCAUGUGAGCUCAAGGAGAUCCAUCUGCAGAAUAGGCGGUUCACGUGGAGCAACGAG